CGGAACUGCAGCGGCUGACUCCCCGCCAGCCCUGAGAGCUGGGGUUACCUGCAGGAUGUGCACGCCCUUCAGGGAGACCACGGCCAGCUCCUGCAGCCCGUCCCCGGUCAGGUCCACGUCUCAGGAGGCCAAGGCACCAUCAUCUCAGAUUUGGACAUGUUCACAGACCCAGCAAGGGCUCAACCUGUCACUCAAGCCGUUCGCCUCCAGCCCAUCUCACUCCCAAAUGGAAAGCCACAGUGUCCCACUGGGGACUCAGACGCAUGCGCCCUCAAUCUAGUCGCCCAUGCUGCCUUCAUGGAGCCCGAAGACGGCUUGGCCCUGGCUUGGACACCUUCCCCACCCCUACACGGGUGCCAGAGCUGGCCACAGUCGCUUCCAAGCGCUGACUGGGAAAUGUCCCCAUGUCAUCAAUUCAUGGCUCACAACCCACCACGGUGGGAGUAUUUACACUUUGGACACUCGGGUAAAUGCUUCACACCUGGGCUUUCCCCGGGCAGAGCCAGUAAUUAAACAUUUGCCAGCACACCCACUAUCUCCCCUCCAGCGGGCGAGGGCGUCUCUGCUCCCAUCCUCCCGCCUCAACGUAUUCCCAAGUCUAUACCUCAAUAUUCACAGCCCCGCCCCUGGGUCACAAGUAUCUUUCUUUCUUUCUUUCUUUUUUUUUAAAGAUGGGGGUUUCACCAUGUUGGUCAGGCUGGUCUUGAACUCCCGACCUCAGGUGAUCUGCCCGCCUCAGCCUCCCAAAGUGCUGGGAUUACAGGCCUGAGCCACCGUGCCCAGCUCAAUAACCUAAGUUCUAUGAAUGCAAACCAUGACUGCCUGCGGA